rnacentral:lncRNA from 1 species
GGCGAAGUGAACUACUGCUCUUGCACUCGAAGUCAGCGCUUGCCAUCGGCGAUUUUCAAACUUUUGCUUUUAAGAAUUCAUUUCCAAAGUCAGGAUGGAACGGCGUCUUGUAUCGUAUGCAAAUACGUCUGCUGACGUAGUUGAUCAUGUGGGUUUUGGCGUAGAUCCCCCUGUGAUCGCCAAUUUUUUUCGGCUGUUGUCUUUAGAAUUCGGCAGAAUCGUUACAAACGUGCGCUUCUGUAGGCUGUACACGCGGAAAAGUACGCAAUUUUGGAGUCUAGCUGUCAGUAACCUCACAUCCCAGCGUUUUCCGUUGGUUGGUGGGCAGGUGAGGAGAAGCUGGGUGAAAAAGGUGGCAGAGUAGGAAAACUUGCCACAUAGGACCUAUCAAAUAUUAUACUCCUAAAAGGGGAGACCAUCAUUGACAGGUGGGCUGCUGAUUUAAAAAGAUUUAUGAUGAUGAUGAUAAUGUAAUGAUAUUGUGAGUCCAAACAGAGCACAACGUUGAUGUUUGUACAGCAGAGACAGACCAUGCUUCUAGUGCCCUAAUUCAUGAGCUUGAAUAAUUCAAUCAUACAAUGUAAUUCAAUAAGUUUUCAUCCUGUAGAGGAUUUCAGACCUUGAGAGGGAUAGAUAAUAGCUCAGAAUGUGCUUGUACCAAUAAACAGUAGUCAGUGAAGAUGGUCCAUUUUAAUGUGAAAUUUUAACUUCAAAGCUCUAUUUAGUUGUAUGCCUGAGCUGAGUUGAAGAAUUUACCCACUCCUCGUGUCCCUUUCAUACAGCUCACUUAUUUUUCAGUUCCUCUGCUUGUAAUGUUUUUCCUGCAAAUCUGCUAACACUUCUAGAUGCUAGAUAAUAAAUACAGUGGGUUGUUUGUAGGUGACCAAAUACUUAUUUUACCAAGGAAUUUUCCAAUUAAUUCUUUAAAAAUCCUACAAUGUGAUUUUCUGGAUUUUUUUUCUCAUUUUGUCUCUCAUAGUUGAGGUAUACCUAUGAUGAAAAUUACAGGCCUCUCUCAUCUUUUUAAGUGGGAGAACUUGCACAAUUGAUGGCUGACUAAAUACUUUUUUGCCCCACUGUAUAUAAAGGAAUCAUACUGAAAUUAUUUGAUUAAAUGCAAAUGAGCUAGGG